UUCUUCCCAAGGCACACCUGUCCGAAAGGCGGGGUCGCAAAGCCACCGGUCUAACGCAGCGGCGCGAAGCGCACUGACACGAUAGCGGGGCUGCCAGG
rnacentral:ncRNA from 1 species